AAUCUCGACCGGGGCGACAGACAUAUGAAGGUCAGGCUGAAGACCUUACCCGAUUAGCUGAGAGGUGGUGCAUGGCCGUCGUCAGUUCGUACUGUGAAGCAUCCUGUUAAGUCAGGCAACGAGCGAGACCCACGUCCACAGUUGCCAGCAUACCCUCCGGGGUGAUGGGUACACUGUGGAGACCGCCGCUGCUAAAGCGGAGGAAGGAGUGGGCAACGGUAGGUCAGUAUGCCCCGAAUCUCCCGGGCUACACGCGGGCUACAAUGGUUGGUACAAUGGGCAUCUACCCCGAAAGGGGAAGGAAAUCUCUUAAAGCCAAUCGUAGUUCGGAUUGAGGGCUGCAACUCGCCCUCAUGAAGCUGGAAUCCGUAGUAAUCGCGUUUCAACAGAACGCGGUGAAUACGUCCCUGCUCCUU
rnacentral:rRNA from 1 species